rnacentral:rRNA from 1 species
CCUACGGGAGGCAGCAGUGGGGGAUAUUGCACAAUGGGGGGAACCCUGAUGCAGCGACGCCGCGUGGGGGAAGAAGCGCCACGGCGCGUAAAGCCCUGUCAGCAGGUAAGAAAAUGACGGUACCUGAACAAGAAGCCGCGGCUAACUACGUGCCAGCAGCCGCGGGAAUACGUAGGGGGCAAGCGUUAUCCGGAUUUAUUGGGUUUAAAGCGUGCGUAGGCGGGAUUUUAAGUUAGUGGUAAAACGUCGGGGCUUCACCCUGAGUCGCCAUGAAAACUGGAGUACUAGAGUACAGACGAGGUAGGCGGAAUAAGUUAAGUAGCGGUGAAAUGCUUAGAUAUAACUUAGAACCCCGAUAGCGAAGGCAGCUUACCAGACUGUUACUGACGCUGAAGCACGAGAGCGUGGGUAGCGAACAGGAUUAGAUACCCGUGUAGUC